AUUGAACGCUGGCGGCAUGCUUUACACAUGCAAGUCGAACGGUAACAGGGUGCUUGCACCGCUGACGAGUGGCGAACGGGUGAGUAAUGCGUCGGAACGUGUCGAGUAGUGGGGGAUAACGCAGCGAAAGUUGUGCUAAUACCGCAUACGUACUGAGGUAGAAAGUGGGGGACCUUCGGGCCUCACGCUAUUCGAGCGGCCGAAGGCUGAGUAGCUAGAAGGUGAGGUAAAGGCUCACCUAGGCGACGAUCAGUAGCGGGUCUGAGAGGAUGGUCCGCCACACUGGGACUGAGACACGGCCCAGACUCCUACGGGAGGCAGCAGUGGGGAACUUUGGACAAUGGGCGAAAGCCUGAUCCAGCCAUGCCGCGUGUCUGAAGAAGGCCUUCGGGUUGUAAAGGACUUUUGUCAGGGAGGAAAUCCCUAGUGCUAAUAACACUGGGGGAUGACAGUACCUGAAGAAUAAGCACCGGCUAACUACGUGCCAGCCGCCGCGGUAA
rnacentral:rRNA from 1 species